GAUGAAGAACGCAGCGAAAUGCGAUAAUUAAUGUGAAUUGCAGAAUUCCGUGAAUCAUCGAGUCUUUGAACGCACAUUGCGCCUCAUGGCAUUCCGUGAGGCAUGCCCAUCUCAGCGUUAGAAAAUAUUCUCAAAUUUUAGUUUUGUGCUAAAAUUUGGAUCAUGUCAAGGAAGCUAUUACUAUUAUUGUGAUCGCUCUUUGGAAAUUGAUAGGUCUUUGAGUUGCUACUCAUAGAACGUGAUGAAUCUUUCUUCGUUCUAUUGUAAUUCACUCUGGUAGUCCUAAAACUUGUAUGCCUGUGGCAUAUCUUGUAAUUUGACCUGAGGUUGGGUAGGGAUACCCGCUGAACUUAAGCAUAUCAAUAAGCGGAGGA
rnacentral:misc_RNA from 1 species